rnacentral:rRNA from 1 species
CACGUAGGGCGCAAGCGUUGUCCGGAAUUAUUGGGCGUAAAGAGCUCGUAGGCGGUCUGUUGCGUCCGCUGUGAAACCCAGGGCUUAACCCUGGGCUUGCAGUGGAUACGGGCAGACUAGAGGCAGGUAGGGGAGAAUGGAAUUCCCGGUGUAGCGGUGAAUGCGCAGAUAUCGGGAGGAACACCGGUGGCGAAGGCGGUUCUCUGGGCCUGACCUGACGCUGAGGAGCGAAGCGUGGGAGCGAACAGG